AGCUUCCAGACAAUGAAGCGAUGGAAAUGGAAAAUUCUUGGACAGCCACGUGCUUGCCUGAUGGCAGCUGGACACCACUGCCCAAGUGUAUGAAAGAAGGUGAUGCUGAUGUGUGUCAAGAGGUUCAUUACAUUAAAUCGACCUUUGAAUGUGGUGUGCCUAUAGAAGAAGUGAAAAGUCUCCUGGAAAUACAGAAACUGCUCCUGGAGAUUAACAAACUAGAGAUGGAGCUAGAAAACUAAAACAGAACUGGGUCCCUGUAAUAGCUCAACUUUCCUUUGGUGAACUCACAGUUUGUGCAGUCACAGCAUCUCUGAGAAGGUUCUGUGUGAUUUUAUGAGUUUUUUUUUUUGCAUGCCUAUAGCCAGAAAAAUAAUCACCAGUGCAUGGGAGGCUGCUUUUGCUGUGCUGGAUGCCAGAGCAGGGAGCGGGUUUUGCUCUAACCUACAAGCUUGAUUUGCUCUUUUACUAAUAAGUUGUUUCAUGUUUCAUAUUAGUAAGAAUAAAAAUAGAUUAAAUUUAGCUUUUUAAAAUCA